rnacentral:rRNA from 1 species
GUAGGGUGCGAGCGUUUCCGGAAUNACUGGGCGUAAAGAGCUCGUAGGUGGUUUGUCGCGUUGUUCGUGAAAACUCACAGCUUAACUGUGGGCGUGCGGGCGAUACGGGCAGACUGGAGUACUGCAGGGGAGACUGGAAUUCCUGGUGUAGCGGUGGAAUGCGCAGAUAUCAGGAGGAACACCGGUGGCGAAGGCGGGUCUCUGGGCAGUAACUGACGCUGAGGAGCGAAAGCGUGGGGAGCGAACAGGAUUAGAUACCCUGGUAGUCCACGCCGUAAACGGUGGGUACUAGGUGUGGGUUUCCUUCCUUGGGAUCCGUGCCGUAGCUAACGCAUUAAGUACCCCGCCUGGGGAGUACGGCCGCAAGGCUAAAACUCAAAGGAAUUGACGGGGGCCCGCACAAGCGGCGGAGCAUGUGGAUUAAUUCGAUGCAACGCGAAGAACCUUACCUGGGUUUGACAUGCACAGGACGCCGGUAGAGAUAUCGGUUCCCUUGUGGUCUGUGUGCAGGUGGUGCAUG